rnacentral:rRNA from 1 species
UCCAGACUCCUACGGGAGGCAGCAGUGAGGAAUAUUGGUCAAUGGCCGGGAGGCUGAACCAGCCAAGUCGCGUGAGGGAAGACGGCCCUACGGGUUGUAAACCUCUUUUGUCGGGGAGCAAAGCGAGUCACGUGUGACUCAUUGAGAGUACCCGAAGAAAAAGCAUCGGCUAACUCCGUGCCAGCAGCCGCGGUAAUACGGAGGAUGCGAGCGUUAUCCGGAUUUAUUGGGUUUAAAGGGUGCGUAGGCGGAAUGCCAAGUCAGCGGUAAAAUCGCGGGGCUCAACCUCGCUCCGCCGUUGAAACUGGCGUUCUUGAGUGGGCGAGAAGUAUGCGGAAUGCGUGGUGUAGCGGUGAAAUGCAUAGAUAUCGCGCAGAACUCCGAUUGCGAAGGCAGCAUGCCGGCUCCACACUGACGCUGAGGCACGAAAGCGUGGGUAUCGAACAGGAUUAGAUACCCCAGUA